rnacentral:tRNA from 1 species
GCCCGAAUGGCGGAAUUGGCAGACGCGCUAGGUUCAGGUCCUAGUUCUGGUCAAACGGAGUGGAGGUUCGAGUCCUCUUUCGGGCA